rnacentral:rRNA from 1 species
GACGAACGCUGGCGGCGUGCUUAACACAUGCAAGUCGAACGAAGUGGCGAACGGGUGAGUAAUACGUGGGUAACUGCCCUCCUUUUUGGGAUAAGCCUUGGAAACGGGGUCUAAUACCGAAUAACGGGGGAUGGGCUCGCGGCCUAUCAGCUUGUUGGUGGGGAGAUGGCCUACCACGGCGGUGACGGGUAGCCGGCCUGAGAGGGGACCGGCCACAUUGGGCGGAGAGCCGGCCCAGGCGCCUACUGGAGGCAGCAGUGGGGGAUAUUGCACAACGGGCGAAAGCUUGAUGCAGCGACGCCGCGUGAAGGAAGACGGGCUUCGGAUGGAAAACGUCUUUAGACAGGGACGCGGUACCUGUAGAAUAAGCCACGGCUAACUACGUGCCAGCAGCCGCGGUAAUUC